rnacentral:rRNA from 1 species
GUCAGGUGGCGGACGGGUGAGUAACGCGUAGGAAUCUAUCCUUGAAGUGGGGGACAACCGUAGGAAACUACGGCUAAUACCGCAUGAUGCCUGAGGGACCAAAGACGAAAGUCGUUGAGGAGGAGCCUGCGUCUGAUUAGGUAGUUGGUAGGGGUAAAGGCCUACCAAGCCUACGAUCAGUAGCUGGUCUGAGUGGAUGAUCAGCCACAUUGGGACUGAGACACGGCCCAAACUCCUACGGGAGGCAGCAGUGGGGAAUAUUGGACAAUGGGCGCAAGCCUGAUCCAGCAAUGCCGCGUGGGUGAAGAAGGUCUUCGGAUUGUAAAGCCCUUUUGGCGGGGACGAUGAUGACGGUACCCGCAGAAUAAGCUCCGGCUAACUUCGUG